AUGCGAGGGUUUAACUCGGUCCUCUGUGCCAUCCCCACAUACCUCAUCUCGGUGUUCAAGUUGGACAUAUGGGCCAUCAAACAAAUUGACAAACUCUGAAGGAACUUCCUAUGGAGAUCCAAACCGGAGGCCUCUGGAGGAAUAGCACUUGUGAAUUGGGCCACUGUCUGUCGCCCAAAGAGGCUUGGAGGUCUCGGUGUGAUGGAUAUCAAGAAGUUUGGGCGUACUUUUCGGCUUCGCUGGAUGUGGUUAGAUAAGCAAAGGGAGAUCAGGCCUUGGACUGGCUCCGUUAUUCCUUGUGAUGAGGUCGACCAGGCACUUUUCAGAGCAUCCUCCACGCUUAAUCUUGGGAAUGGCAGGGACACCUCCUUCUGGCAUGACAGGUGGCUUGACGGCCAAGCUCCCAAAUUCAUGGCCCCUGAUCUGUUUGCACUAAGUACCAAGAAGAAGAUUAGCGUUUCUGAGGCAAUCAAUGGCCAAGCCUGGAUGGCAGGAUUGCGGCGCAUCACUCAGACCUCGCAGCUUUGUCAGUACACACACCUUUGGCUUAGACUACAACAGGUUCAACUUAACUCUGAAGUAGAUUCAGUCUCUUGGAAGGGCACCACGGGUGGUGUUUACUCUGCACGAUCAGCUUAUCAAUACCAGUUCAUGGGCUCAUACUCCAGUAUCAAUUUUGAGAAGCUUUGGAAGACCAAGGUGGAGGGAAAAUGCCGCUUCUUCAUGUAG
rnacentral:rRNA from 1 species